AAGAAUUGAAUCUUCACAUGUAAAAUUAGGUCAAAUAAACAUAUUUAAAUAUAAAAAAUAAAAACAAAUAUUAAAAUAAUAAAAAAUAAAACAUAAAAAAAUUGAAAUUAAAUAAUAUUCAAAGUAUCAUCCAUGAAUCAUUUGGGAAUUUUUGGACCAAAGGAAGUAAUUUAAAUAAAAUCAAAAGAAAUAGUAACCAAAUAAUAAAAAGAAAAAAAAAGAAAUGGGGGUGUACAUUAGUAAAACAGAUAAAAGGAUAUUAGUUGCAAUGAAAAUGGUCCAGAAAGGGGGUGGGGAAAUCAAAUGUGACACGACCCGGUCCACAAAUAAAAUAGAAAAAUAAAAAAUUAGAUGGAAUGUCACGCUCGGUCAUGUGGAACAUUCCUCAAUUGGUCACUCCAUCACUUAAGCAUUAAAAGACAAGACAACACCAUGGCCAAUCAAAACACGCCAACUACUCAUCUUCAACCUUGGCCAUGCAUCAAAAUGAGACUACAAACCCUAAAACCC
rnacentral:lncRNA from 1 species